rnacentral:rRNA from 1 species
GGGGAAUUUUCCGCAAUGGGCGAAAGCCUGACGGAGCAAGACCGCGUGGGGGAUGAAGGUUUGUGGAUUGUAAACCCCUUUUGAUUGGGAAGAAUACUGACGGUACCAAUCGAAUAAGCCUCGGCUAACUCCGUGCCAGCAGCCGCGGUAAUACGGAGGAGGCAAGCGUUAUCCGGAAUUAUUGGGCGUAAAGCGUCCGUAGGUGGUUUAGUAAGUCUGCUGUUAAAGCGCGGGGCUUAACUCCGUAUCGGCAGUGGAAACUACUAGACUAGAGUGUGGUAGGGGUAGAGGGAAUUCCCAGUGUAGCGGUGAAAUGCGUAGAUAUUGGGAAGAACACCGGUGGCGAAAGCGCUCUACUGGGCCAUAACUGACACUGAUGGACGAAAGCUAGGGGAGCGAAAGGGAUUAGAUACNCCCUGUAGUC